rnacentral:rRNA from 1 species
GAUGAACGCUGGCGGCGUGCCUAAUACAUGCAAGUCGAGCGAACGGACGAGAAGCUUGCUUCUCUGAUGUUAGCGGCGGACGGGUGAGUAACACGUGGAUAACCUACCUAUAAGACUGGGAUAACUUCGGGAAACCGUAGCUAAUACCGGAUAAUAUUUUGAACCGCAUGGUUCAAAAGUGAAAGACGGUCUUGCUGUCACUUAUAGAUGGAUCCGCGCUGCAUUAGCUAGUUGGUAAGGUAACGGCUUACCAAGGCAACGAUGCAUAGCCGACCUGAGAGGGUGAUCGGCCAAACGGAAACGGAGACACGGCCCAGACUCCUAGGGGAGGCAGCAGUAGGGAAUCUUCCGAAAGGGGCGAAAGCCUGACGGAGAAACGCCGGGUGAGUGAUGAAGGUCUUCGGAUCGUAAAACUCUGUUAUUAGGGAAGAACAUUUGUGUAAGUAACUGUGCAAAUCUUGACGGUACCUAAUCAGAAAGCCACGGCUAACUCCGU